rnacentral:rRNA from 1 species
GACGAACGCUGGCGGCGUGCCUAUCACAUGCAAGUCGAGCGAGUGGAUCUCCUUCGGGAGUGAAGCUAGCGGCGGACGGGUGAGUAACACGUGGGCAACCUGCCUCAUAGAGGGGAAUAGCCUUUCGAAAGGAAGAUUAAUACCGCAUAAGAUUGUAGCUUCGCAUGAAGUAGCAAUUAAAGGAGCAAUCCGCUAUGAGAUGGGCCCGCGGCGCAUUAGCUAGUUGGUGAGGUAACGGCUCACCAAGGCGACGAUGCGUAGCCGACCUGAGAGGGUGAGCGGCCACAUUGGGACUGAGACACGGCCCAGACUCCUACGGGAGGCAGCAGUGGGGAAUAUUGCACAAUGGGGGAAACCCUGAUGCAGCAACGCCGCGUGAGUGAUGACGGCCUUCGGGUUGUAAAGCUCUGUCUUCAGGGACGAUAAUGACGGUACCUGAGGAGGAAGCCACGGCUAACUACGUGCCAGCCGCCGCGGUAA